CCUACGGGCGGCAGCAGUGGGGAAUAUUGGUCAAUGGGCGCGAGCCUGAACCAGCCAAGUAGCGUGAAGGAUGACUGCCCUACGGGUUGUAAACUUCUUUUAUCAGGGAAUAAAGUGAGGCACGCGUGCCUUUUUGUAUGUACUUUAUGAAUAAGGAUCGGCUAACUCCGUGCCAGCAGCCGCGGUAAUACGGAGGAUCCGAGCGUUAUCCGGAUUUAUUGGGUUUAAAGGGUGCGUAGAUGGGUUGUUAAGUCAGUUGUGAAAGUUUGUGGCGCAAACGUAAAACUGCAAUUGAGACUGGCAGUCUUGAGUACAGUUGAGGUAGGCGGAAUGCGUGGUGUAGCGGUGAAAUGCUUAGAUAUCACGAAGAACUCCGAUUGCGAAGGCAGCUUACUAGACUGCCACUGACAUUGAUGCUCGAAAGUGUGGGUAUCAAACAGGAUUAGAUACCCGAGUAGUC
rnacentral:rRNA from 1 species